rnacentral:rRNA from 1 species
AUAAGACGGAUUAGCGGCGGACGGGUGAGUAACACGUGAGUAACCUGCCUUUUACACAGGGAUAGCCUCGGGAAACCGGGAUUAAAACCUGAUGAAACUAUCAAAUCACAUGAUUAAGAAAGUUAAAACUCCGGUGGUAAAAGAUGGACUCGCGUCCCAUUAGCUAGUUGGUGAAGGUAACGGCCCACCAAGGCAACGAUGGGUAGCCGGCCUGAGAGGGUGAACGGCCACAUUGGAACUGAGACACGGCCCAGACUCCUACGGGAGGCAGCAGCC